UCAAGGCUUGUUGUCCUGGCAACCUUGGAA
rnacentral:piRNA from 1 species